AAGCUGUAGGAACUUCUGGAUUACAUUGGCUCGAGGCUCCUUCACCCAAUUACCAUCCAUCAUUCUUUCGUCCUUGAAAUUGAACCCCUUAACGAAUGUUUUUUCGCCGCUAAGACGUGCAUUGUCGGCCCCAAAGUUUUGAGGUAAAGUCGACUCCUUUCUUCUCGCAAGAGCUCUCUCUACUUCUGUAAUUCCUCGCCCGUACGCAGUACCGCCCACCGAACACUUGAUGAACUCCAUUGAAUUGCAAGUCAAUGUACCCGUUUUAUCGGAAAGAAUAGUGUCAACUUGGCCAAGCUCUUCAUUCAAAUUUGACGUGCGGGCAUGAGCUGGCUUAUCAGUUUCCUCAUGGUACAUAUGUAGAUCUUGGUUGAUGAAGACACUCUGCAGAACUUUGACAAUUUCAAUGGACACAUACAAUGAUAUGGGAAUCAAAUAGCUAAAAAGCAUAAGAGCAGUCAAAAACUGCAAUACUGCUGCAGCUGGAGCAUUUUUGGGGUUGUAAUAUGUUGUGGUAUCAUCUGGCCGUAGGUACCAUCUCGUAGCUCUUCCAUUUUCUAAAUCGUCUCUAGUCUUAACACCAAAGAAAAUUGACCCAACAACUGAUAACAAAACCAAGACAGCAAACAGAAAGAACACAAUCUUAUCCAUCCUUUUCUCAAUCUUGCUUCGCUUGGAAGGAGGAUCUGUUGAGUUCUGAAUAACCUUUGUAUCGUGACCAGUGAAAAUCACCACCCCGUAUACAAAAUCCGUGUUUCGAAGCUUUGAGUCUCGAAGAAGAAGUUGUUGAGGGCUGAGGGGAUGUUGUUGUUCUUCAAGCAACAUACUACCUACGAAGGAAUACAAAUUGGCAUUGGGGUCUUCACAUUUUAUUGUAGCCUUGAAAUUUUGGAAGCUUGAAUCAUCAUGUAAGUUCGAGCUUGCUUCUAAUGCGUUUUUCAGUUUCAAAUUUGUUUCUCCAUCAAGAUUCAUCGUCUCGACGUAGCAAAUCGCUUCCUCAUAACUCGACGAAAGUAAAAUGAGAUCAGCGGGGAAGAAUUCAUCCUUCUCCACUCUAACUACAUGCCCAACUCUCAAGUCCAUCCAUUUAGUCUCAACAAACUCACCAUCUCCAAUAUGUACUUUCACUUUCCUGUUAUUCAUUUCCAUAUCCUGAAAACAAUUACCACAAAAGAAAAUUAUAAAAGGAAAAACUUUGAGCAGUCGUCCUAAACUGAAAAUAGAAAGAUUCCAAAUUCACCUGUUUGGUUCUCCUCCAAUCUUCAAGAGCUUCUUUGCCCAUGGUGACUCCAAUAACAACAACAAGAGGAAGAACAUUGCUGACAGGCGAAUAUGGAGAAAGAGGGGUAAAGGAUAGCAAAGCACAAAAAAGGAAAUACAAGUUGGCAACCCUUCUGAAUUGCUCAAACAAUGAUUUGGGGAAGAAUGAAGCAACAGUAUACUUUGAAGUUUUGACAUAAUUGCCUCCAUAGUUAAGAAGAUUAGCCUCAAAACUAUCUGGAUCGUUGCAGUAAACUAUCCUUGAGAAUCCUGGCCCUCCAAUUAAAGAAUGUUCAUCUUUGAAUGAAGCUCUACCACAAGGAAAAGCGUGAAUCCUUCUGAAAUGUUGCUUCCUCCUUUUUCUACCACUCCCCAUUUAUAAAUCCAACUAUACCUUCUAGUUUAAACCCUUGUGUUGCUGCAAAAAAAUAGCAAAACUUGAACUAACAAAAAUGUCUCAAAACUUUUCUAAUCCUGUUUUUAUAUGGUUGGUUGAUGUAGAAGAAGAAGAAAGCUAAAAUAGGACGUAGAAUGAGAAAUGGGGUCUUAAAGACAAUCUAAAAUCCCAAGAAAUGAUUAUGUAAGAACAGAUAGCCGCUCAGGACACAAAAGGGGUUAAAAGUGAAAAGAAGGAAAAAGUAUAGAGAGCUAAAAUAGAAUGUAGAAUGAGAAAUGGGGUCUUAAAGACAAUCUGAAACUCCCAAAAAUGAUUAUGUAAGAACAGAUAGCCGCUCAGGAUACAAAAGGAAGAUUCUAUGAAACAGAGCAGUUUAAUACUGUUCAUAUCUUCCCUCUUUCCAUUUACAAGCCCUCGGAUUUGACUAAUACCUUCAAGACGGCAAAUCAGAGAUGGGUAUUAUUUUCUUUUAUUUUCUUUUUUUUUUUGAAGAAGAAGACGAGUUUUUAGUUUUUUUUUUACAGAACUCAACAACUUCAAAGGUAGAUUUUCUAAAAUCAAAUCGUAAAAAGUAAAUCACAAAAACAAACCCAACCCACAAUGAGAUAUUGAAACCUCACCAUUUUUCUUUUCCCUCAGGCUGCUGCUAAAACAAAAACGAAAGAGCUGGAAUCUCACGUCAUCGGCAAAACCAAAGACUUUUUAGAAGCGUUGACCAAGCCUUCUUUGCCUUCUUCUUCAAGUCAAGCUCAAAAGGUUAAAGAUUUUGCAGAAAAAAUCACAAUAGUAAAUCUGGGUUGAGCAUGUUAGUCUCUGUUUUGCUCUGUUCUUUUUUUCUUUUUCAAAGAGAACAAGAAAUGUGGUUGAAGAAUCGAAGAAACUGAAAGCAAUCUAAUAAAUGAAGGUUUCCUUUAAAAGUUAAAAAGAGUUUACUACAGAUUGAGUAAUACUGACUAGUGAGUAAAUAAAUUUAUGAUCUGAGUCUCUAACCCAGUUGGAAAUUUCCUGUCAUGAUUAUAAAAUUAAAUUCUGUGCUAAAAACAAGCGAAUUAUAAGAUGAUUCGUGUUAGAAAUGGAGAGGAAAAUAGUUAUAAGAAAAAGACAGUUAAAAGUGAAAGUGAAGAUGAGUUGGAGGAAGAGCAGGAGAGGAUCUAGUGAAUAUCUAUUGUUUAUUCAUUUAUUUACAAAACUUAAAAUUGUUGAAAAGAUUGAAGAAGAACAAGAAGAAGAAGAAGAUGGCGGAUGAGGCUGCGUUGGGUUAGGGUCAAACUGAACCAUUCUCAUGCUUCAACUAUUAUCUUAUUUAAUCUCUCUUCACAUUGUUAAUACCCAAAAUACCAUUGUUUUCUAUAUAACGAAUGCUUUUUAUUUUAUGUCAACAUGUGAGCUUAAGUUAUCUUCUUCCUUAGGGAUGAGAGAGUACACAACGACGACUUAUUCCACACAUCUUUUUCUUCGGUCUGGAAAAUCUUUGCCGUGGGUGUGGGUGAUGGGUUUGCGUGAUGGUGGAGGGAGUGAAUGAAGAAAAAGAAAUUGUAAUGAUAUAUAUGAUUAAGGAAUAUGAAUACGACUCUUGAUAUGUGAAUCAAGAAAAGCAUAUAUUGAUGGGGUCCUCGAAAAUGAAUUCUUUUCCUCAAUCACAUUGGCCUAUUUUUGACAUUCAAAUAUUCUUAAGUUCUAUUGUUUACAAUUGAAAAGUGAAACAAAAAUGGAAUUUUUCAUGUAAUUCUUAAUUACUCAUUUGUUUUCGAAAUCAAAUUCGAUUAAAAUCUGUGUAUUUUUUCAGUUUUAUUUUCUAAAUAAGUUGAUAAAGUCUCGUUUUGUUCGUUAUUCAUUUUUGUUUUAAUGUUUUCAACAAUAAGAAAUGUAUUGAAAAUGAUCCUAACCUCAAUUGGAAUACUUGUUUUGAAAAACGAUUUCCGAAAACAAACCUUAAAAUAACCUAAUUUAAUAUCGUUUUUUUUCUUUUAGAAACUACGAGCAUAAUCAUUUUCAAAUUCCGCUAUACAUAAUUUUUAAAUUUCAAAUUAAAACCAAACGUGUUUCCAAGAACUAAUUGAUUUUUGUUUUCUACUUAAAGUUUUGUGUUUUUAAAACAAUUUAUAGAUCGCAAACCGGACGGGAUCUAAGGAUCCAUGUUAAUAUUUAAAUUAUUUAAUGCUAACACAAAUUCUAAUAGUGUUUUUUUUUAAGCAACUAAUCUUUGAAAAGUUGAAUAGUAUAUAUAUAUAUAUAUGUUUGGUUAAUUUUAAGCCAUCGAAUUUUAAAAAUAUCGGAGGAUUAAAAAAAAAUGUAAAACAGAAAAAAAGGUAUGAAAAAGAUUCAAAUUGGUUUAAAGUAAUUGAUAUAUAAUUAGGAUAUUAAUUAGCAUGUGGGGUAAGUUGUUUCAUUCAAUAAUAUGAUAUGUCAACUAUAGGAUUAAUUACACAAAGUCUCAUUUCGUUAUCAACAUUAUUCUUCAAAUCAAAAGUGCUUCAAUUAAGAAUAAUAAUACUAAAGCUCAAGAUUAUCCAUUUCAUAAAUUAAUUAAUGAUAAACAAAAAAAGUGAAAGGAAUUUGGUAAAAAGGGAUCUGAAAAUAAAAAUUUAGAAAUAUUUUCAAUUUUAAUAUAAUGAAAUUUCAUAAAGUUAGAUAAAGAGAGAUUUGAUAGAAUUGGAUGUGAAUAUCUUUUUCUCAUUUUCAAAAACCCUAAUAAUUCGUACGGAUCUUAGUCAAACCUUUUGGGUUGACUAAUUUUUUCCUCCGAUUCCACGUGGCACCCCCACAUUGCACCAAAUGCUUUUACUUACUAAUUAGUUUCGUCUCUCUGCUAAGGAACCUUCCAUUUAUUUAUUUAUUUUAUGGAAAUUUCUAUAAAUGAUCAUAGUAUUAUUUUGGCUCAUUUAUUUUUUAAAUGUCAAUGAUUGAGAUUUGAGAAUAGGGAAAAACUUGGCAAAAGAAAUAUAUAUAUAUAUAUAUAUAUAUAUAUAUAUAUAUAUAUAUAUAUAUAUAUAUAUAUAUAUAUAUUAACUAUUUUAGAAAGGUGUGUGGUGCGGAGAACAUUCAAAAUAAAAUGUUCGCCGUAUUGAGAUGACCAUUUUUCUCAAUUGAAUCUAAUGUUGUAACUUAAGUUAAUAACUAGCGAUACGACUGGGAGAACAUGUAAGUCAGUAAAUCAUAAAUUAAUUGGUAACUCAGUUCAAUGACUAUGUACUUAUGUUUGGGGUGUCUUAGACCCAGAUAAGAGGAUAUAUUGCUCAUCAUAUAAUGGAUACUAUUACAAUGUUAUGACUCAGAGGACAACACGUUAUUCAUAGUGACCAUUGACUAACUUAAUAAUUAUCUAAAUCAUGUUAAACAUAAAAACAUGUGUCAUAACAUUAUGGGAAGCACUCCCCCCUAAAUCAAUAAACAUGAUGUAAUCUCUUAUGCUUCAAAAGCAUCGAAGAAGCUCUUACCUUACCGUAAUCAUCAAUAUAUUCGUUCAAGACCAAAAGGAGAACGAUCACCUCUCUUCUGAUUUCUUGUUCCACCUUAUACAAAUUAGAAUCUUCAACAAUAUUUACUUAAAUGAUAUCCAAACAACCCAAGAAAAUAGAAAUAUUACAACCAGAUAACCGUAAAUAAAUAAUCUUUUAAAUAAAGAUAGUGAGACCACUUUACAACAUAUAACCUAAUUAAAACGGUCAGUCUCUUUAAUAAUGUUUCACUUAAAGUCUAUUUUUUCUAUAUGUUUUGGGUCUAGUCUUUCGUUAAUUAAGUUAUGUACUCGUUGAUUGAUUUAGAAAACUAUAUCCAACACACUCAAUCUACAUAUAAUUAAGAGAUUACUUAAAUGAUGGAAAAGAUCAAUUCUUUGGAAUUUGCUCCCAUCCAUUUUUUAUUAUUCUAUAUGUUGGUCUAACUUGGGAGAUGUUUUUCUUUUUGUUUAUAGAAAAGUAUGUAAAUACGAUAUUAUCAUUAUUAAAAAAAAAACAAAAACCCUAUGAAUUAUUGUAAUAGGACCUUCUUUAACACUUUGAAUUUGAUAUCAAUUAUCAUCUCUCUUUAGUUAUAAUUUAACCCUACCCUCUCAAUUGGACCUGCUAUUAAUUGUUUCUCAACUAAACCUUCAACUCCAAAAACAAAACAAGUUCCUAUUAUUAUUAAACUUCAUAUAACUACUGCCAAGUAAAAUUAAAUUCAGUGGUACUAUAAUAAUUUUAUAUUUUGAAUGCUUGAUUAAUGCAUGGUUCACAGAAAACUUCAUGAAUUUUCCAAUGUUUAAAGUUUAACAUAUAUAAUUAGCUAUGGGUGUGUGCAUGCUUUGAUAAUAUAGAUGAAGUAAUUUAUUUAAAUAUUUCGAUUACAACAACUUCACUCUACUCUAAAUUUGAAUUAAAUUUAACUUUUUGUUUAGUUUUGUUAUUAUCGAUGUCGAGCUUUGAAAUAGCCGAGGGAAUUAAAUAUCCAUUUUGGAGCCUCUUGCAGCCAUGGGUUCUAAGUUCUAACGAUUUGGAUCUUUUCCUAUUAAAGAAGAAAAAGAAGAAGAAGGGAUUUUGAUAAAGUCUAUGAGACUGCGAAAAUUGCACCGCCGGACGGACGGAGCCACCGCGUAUUCUCCUCAUGCCGUCGUCCUAAUUUAAAUAUCAUUUAAUUUUUAAUAAUCUUAACAUUUAUUCAAACUCUGAUCACAAAAACUUUGUAUUUUAUUUAAAUUGUUUUUUUCCCAUUUUUUCUAAAUUGAAAUUCCAGUCAAGUCUGAGAAAUUUAAAUAAAAUGAAAUAUUGGGUUAUUAGAAAUUUAUUAAUACAAAUAGGAUAAAUCCAAAACGUGUCAAUUAUAUUUAAAACGUCGUCGUUUACCCUUUUUUUCCCUUUGAAUUAUUUGGAAAUAUUAUUGGAAAAGCCUCUCAUUCGAUGCUGAUAUAUAUAUGUAUAUAUAUAUAUAUAUAUCCAUUUUUUGAAUGGAUCAAGAUGUUGUAAAUUACCUAACAAUAUUCAUUACACAUUCAUCAAUUCAACUCAACUCAACAUCACGUUUUUCAUUCAUCAUUUAAAUUAAUUUUAACCAUUUAUAUAUAUAAAUUCUUGUAAGAAUGACACUUUAUUUUAAAAUAUAUUUGGUUAUAUAAUUUGAAUAGAAUAAGCUAUUAGUUAUUAACAUUGUGGAAUGUUAUUGUAUAAAUAUUGUUUUAUUUUCUAAGCAAUAAAUUAAUAUUUAAGCCGAGUUGUAGUCUCAUAUAACGAUAAAAUUAAACACAAUCAUGCAUACAUAUUUUAUUACUAACUAAUUAAACUUUAUAUCUAUUUGAAUUUUUCCAAAGAGAGGAAUUGUGUAUAGCUUUGUCUAUGUCAAUGAAUUUAUUUUAAAAACGAGUACAAAUAUAUAAAUUAUCGUUUCUUAUUAUUAUUGUAUCAUUCAAAGUCGUUGCUUGGAGUUAAUAAAAUAUCAAUGUUUUAUGUCUCGAGAAUAUGUCCAAUAAUAUUUUUAUCUAACAUUAUUUAUUCAUCAUUUGUUUUUUGUUCAGAAUAUUAUAAGAUUGGCACUGAAUUUGAUGUGAUCAAACGAUCAUUUCUCCCCUUUUUCACGUUUUCAAUUAUUCAAUAAGACCUAAUUUGAAGUUUUAUUUAAUUGUUAGUUCAAUUUAGUUCUUAAAAUUAGUUAAAUAAUGAUUUAGUUCUGAUUAAAUCGAUAAUGAAAUGUAUAUAUAAACUAUGUAAAGUCUUGUAUUAAGAAAAUUGAUGGUUGAUAAUUAAAGUUUUUAUUGAAAAUUUCUCUUCAAAGGGACUAAAAUUGUGAUGAUGAUUACAUUCGGAAUAUAAGAGCUAAAGAUUGUUGAAUUUUAUUAAAGUUUUGUAAUUAACUAAAUUCUUACCAAAAGUUUAAUUUAAAAGGAAAAGCAUUGAAACAAUUACCCUAAGACUAUUAAUGACUUUAGUAUUAUUUUGUCCCAGUAAAUUGUUAAGCAUCACAUGGUAAGAUUAAUAUAGUUUGAAUAUUCAAAGUUAAAAGUAGAAAAGAAAAAUAAUUGAGUACUAAACAAAUUUAGAGAUUAAUAAUGCAUAUAUGAUUAAUUUAGACCUACAAUAGCCUAUUUUGAUAUUAUUCGAAACUACUAAUAAACUAAUUCAACACAAAAGUUAAAAUUAUUACACAAUUAUAUAUUAGUUCCUAAACUUUUAUAUAUGUUUAAUUGUUUUUAUUAGAUUUUUAAAAUUAAAGAAAAAAAUCUAAUAGAUUCCUAAACCCUCAAUUUUUUAAUUUUAUAGGUAACAAUAUUCAAAAAUAUUUUGAUAAUUUAAUAAUUAAAUUAGUGUAUAAGACUUCUAAAUUUCAAUAAUACACUAAUUAUUACUACAAUGGUCGACUUAAUAAACACAAAAUUUAAAAUUUCUAUUAAAAACACAAAAUCAUCUUUUAUCUUUCAAAAUUAAUCUUUUAUCUCCUCUCAAUUUCUUACGAUAAUUUAUAUAUUUAUUUAGUAAUUUGUAGCUAAAUUUCAAUAACAAAUAUAACUUUCUUAAAAAGUUUUUUUUUUUUUUCAUAUUUUGGCUUAACUUUAUAGAACACCAAUUAAUUAAGUAGAUGACGAAUAAUCUAUAAAUUUAGAAAUGGAAUGAGCGUUCACUAAAUAAAUGGUUAUUAGACCUACGAUCUUAAUUACCACUUGUUUGUAAAACUUUAAAAGAUCUAUUAGACACAAAAUUAAAAGUUCUAAAAUGAUUUAUUUGACCUAACUGUAGGUUAGGAUUGAAAUUGGAAUAAAAAUGAUAGGAAUUGUAGGAUUUAGGGAAUGAGGUGAAGGAGUUGGGUGAGGGUUGGUGGAUUUUAGAUGUAUUGAAUGGAUUAGAUUAAAUCUUCAUUCAACUCUCUAUGCCCCACUUGAUCAUAAUAAGAACACACACACCACACCCACCAUAUAAUAUAAGCUUUCACAUUAAUGCAAAUGUGACAAUUUUGAUAACAUAUACCUUCCAACUUUGAAAAAAAUUGCUCCACCUUAGCUUGUUUUGUGACCCAAAAAAUAAACUAUUGUAAUUAGAAGCACCAAAUUCCUUCGACGUCUUUUCUAAUUUAAAACUAUACUUUAAAUUGCAAAUUCAACUAAUUUUCAUGUAUAUAUAUAUCCACCUCUUUAACACUAACAAGAAAAAUGGUCUACAACCACAAUUAUUUUCUAUUGCAAAUAAAAUCAGUGAUAGUUAGUUACAGUCAUAGUAUCGUCUGUUGUGGAAAGUUUUUAUAUGACAAUUUUAAAAAACUAUCACAAUAAUUGUUUUCAUGACAAAAAAUAAAUGUCAUUAUUUAAUAUUUUAUGACAACAAAUAACUGUCGUCUUUUAUUUUUCGACAACAAAUCAUCAUUUGCAUAUUGACAACAGUUACAAAAAUGUCACGAAUUCUUAUAUUAUGACAUUUGUUCCCUGUCACCGGUAGAAGAGAUGACGACCACAGUUUGAACUUUGAAAAGAUUGCGGCAGAUUGGAGAUGACGGCACAGAUUGAAGAGGUUGCGGCAGAGGAUGUUUCAUCGUCCGGUUGAGGAGGUUGCGGCAGCAUUUGAGUGAAGAAGACGAGCACGAGGCGGUAGUGGCGGUUAUGGCAUCGAGAGAUGGUUGGAUAGAGAUGACCUUCUUCUUUCACAUGAGGGUUUGGAAAAAUAAUGCUAAGAGAUUUAGAUUGGGGGAAAAGCUUCUAUAAACUUUAAUUUUCAUUUAAAAUUAAUUUUAUUUUAAUAAAUUAAAUAAAUUAUUUAUAUAUCUUCUAUAAACAUUAAAAAAAUUGUUCCGAAAAAUUAUGUUUUUUCCAUAAAAAAAAUUAUUACUAUUUGUGACAAUUUUUUUCCUAUCCAACUAUCCCAAUAGAUAGUUUUUGUUGUAGUAAAAAUAUUUGUAGGAUGAAUUAGAAGGAUUUAUAUUAGUUAGGAUGGAAAUUAAUUAUCACAUUUUGUUUGUCUAGGGAACAUGGAAUUUGACUAUAAUUAUAAUUAUUAUCACAUUUAUUUCAAGUCAUUUGAAGAAGAAAAAUACAUAGAAUUUGUUGCUUUUAAUUUCACACACACACUAUAUAUAUAUCAUUUAAAUCAAUCAUAAGUCAUUACAACAAAAAUACAUAUUAUUAACAUCUUAAUUGAACUAUAACAUUUUAUAUGCAUACUAAUAUUUUGUUUAUAUAUAUUGUAAUUAUUUGUAUACUAUGUUCAAGUUAUAACUAUAAUUUAAUUUAUGGGUAUAUGAAGUAAAGUCAACUUAAUUAAUGGUAAUACCAAAUAAUUUGGAAUCAUUUGAAUAAAGAAUAAUUGAAGGUUGAAAAAUGGUGAAAUAUAAUCUACUUAUUUCAACUGAUUUAUUUCAAUGAAAAACCCUAAAGUUUUUUUUAUUAACUUUUGGAAAGAACCUUGAAGUUUUAUUUUCUAUGAAUGGAAUAAUUCUUAAUGAUCUUGUUCAAGAUUUGACUUCAUAAUGCACAAUUCAAACUUUUGCACUAAAUUAAUAAAAUAAAUACAGAUUUAGAACUUAAUCUAACUUUUUAAUGUUUGUUAGCAGAAUCCCAACCCACACAGCACCAACAACCACUAUUUCUCUUAAUAUAUAUGAACAAGUAAUGUGAUAUUUUAUUUACUUAUUUGCUGCAUAACAUUCUUUCUUUACUACAAAUGUAUUAAUCUCUACUCCCCAAAGUGGAUACCAAAAACAAAUUACAAAUCUUUCAAUCUCUAAUUUUCACUGUUUCUUUAUUAGAAGUAAAAGUAAAAGUAAAGUUUAAAUUUUAAUUUUGAAAAAGCUAACAAAGCAUAAUAUUAUUAAUCUAAAUGAAUUUUAUCUAUUACAUUUUUUUACUUGUUUUUUUUUCAAUUUAUUUAUCGUCAUCUUUUUUUUAUUAUUAGGUAUUUAAUUGUUUAAUACUGCAUUAAAAAAAGAAAUCUUGUAGUUUUCAAAACCUAACAUAAAUUUUAAACUAUAUCAUAUAAAUAUAAGGAAAAUCAUAAAGUGAAUUGUAAUGGUUUUUUAUAAGUUAAAUGAUGAUCAAAUUAAAAUGUUGUAAGCCUUAGAUUUGUUCAUCCUUCAUUUCGAUCAUCUUUAUUCUUUUUUAUUUGAAAAGACAUAUCAUUGAUAUUUGUGGUGUAGUUGAUUAAAAUAUUUGUUGAGCAAUCAAUGAUGAUUUUUUGUUUUGUGAGAAAUGAAGGAGGAUUUGUUAAAUGAUAUUUGUUGCAAGAAGAACACUUGGGUGUAAGCAUAAUUAUAAAUUAAAAAUAUGAUCACAAAUGGCUUUGGUUCAAAUCUUACCAAAACCAUUUGCUUAUCUCAAAAUGCUUUAGGAUAUAUAUAUCUAUAAAAUGUCACGAUCCUAAUUCCUAAAGUGGUUAUCCUAUAUCUCAUGUAAUAUCAUUUUAAAAUUAAAUUGAAUAAAAUAAAACCUACCUUGUUUUAUUAUGCAAUGUUAUUAUUCGUUUUGGCAACAUCAUCAUCGUCUAUAUUGAUUGCCAUGAACUUGUAUUAUCCAUUCCAAGUUUUGAGUUUGGAUUCCCACCCCACACAAUAAUAAAUAUAUAGAACGUAUACGUUAUCAAUUGAGUUGAAAAAUACUAAUCUAUUUUAAUGCGAUGUAUUAGAUUUACAACGUGUUUAGAAUAUGUAUUCGAUGGUUUUUCCUAUGAUUGUAAAUCAAUUGAUCAUAGGGAAUAUUAGGACCAGUAGUUGUCGAAUUUGAAUUCUGAAUCCGAGUUUAAAUCUUGGACCUAGGAUGUUACAAGGACGUAUAUCUAAUUCUAAUUCAUAUUUUUACGGUAUAUAUGUAUAUAUGUUUAUUUGUUUUGUUUUUUUCAUUUUUUGUUUUUUUUGUUUAAAUAGGCUUUCUUUUGUGCAGUUUGUUGUUCCGUUUUCUAAACAGACAGUUUUGAAUGCAAAUGGAAAACUAUGGUACAGUUGAAACUUCUCAAUGAUUAUUUGAAAUGGUUGAAUACAACAAUUGACAUAUUUCCAAAAAAAUUCAUGAAAGGAAGAAAAUUUUUGACCAUUUGAGUUUGGAAUGGUCACUUAAGCUGCAAAGACAUCAAACUACACAAGAAUCUUAUGUACACAUGUUGUAUAAAUAUAUAUAUAUAUAUACACUGAGAAGAAGCUUCCUAUGAAAAAAUGUUUUAAAUCUUUCUAUGGUUAAAAAAUCUCAUAUGCAAAUUAAACUAAUGACUCUUGAUUUCUGAGAAUUCUUCAAAAUGCUUUGAUGCUUCGAACCGAGCUGUGUAACCGACGGUUGUGUGUCGUAAUGAUCUCUGUCUCACUACUUGACAGUAUUCCGGAUCGUUCAACUGUCCGUCAGCUUUUAUCCAUUGAAUCAUUUGAUGAUACAUUGGGAAGAAUCGCAUUUGGAUCGAUGCAAAGAUGAAGUAUGGAAGAAGGGAAGCUCCCAGAGCCAAUAGUGUGAGGAUCCAAAACGAUGGUGCUGGAGCGCAUGCCUCGAUGAAUACCUGAAAUGCUGUGGUUGAUAUAGUUGGGUUUAUAGCUCCAUAUGCCAUGAGGAAUAAGUACCAAAGUACGAUGCUGCCCCAGAUGAAGAGAUGUUGAAUAUAUGUGAAGUAACUGAUGGACAAUGCCAUUUGGCAGUUUACAACCCAAACAACACAAGUGUACAUGGUGACACCAAGAAUUUCCAGCCCGACGACCUCUCCGCUGUUGCGGAAAGCUUGAUAGUCCAUUGCCCCAACACAAAAGAAGAAUAUGAUGACAGAACUGAGUAGCCCAUUGAACACCCAUCCAAAAAUUCGAACCCAACUAAAUAACACAUUUUGGACACCUUCUUGGUAUAGAAGUGAGAACUGAAGAUGCAAAAAUAUAGAAGGCAAUAAGCCAUUUGAUAUUGUAUAUAAGAAGGGCAAAAGAUUGCAUGAAACAAAUAAAGGAAAGUUGAACUUACCUUAAGACAGUACCGGGAUGAGACGUCUUGGUCAAACACUCCCAAUGCAAUCACAGGGAGAGAAGUAAAGAAGACGUUAUACAGCGAAAGGAACCAGUCGUUGUAUACAGUUUGGCCGGAGAAUGAUGCAUACAUCUCAAAGAAGAAUAAAGUGAACCCAAAAACAAUGUUCUUGUAGAAGAAAUAGCAUAUCUGUCAUAUAUAAAACCUGAUCAGUUUGACAUAUUUCAACGAUUUUCAAGCUAAAAAUGAUGUUGAGACUGUACAGUUGCACAUUAAUCUAGAUGAUUCUCACUAAAAAGCUAAUAUCAAGUAAUAUUUAUAAAUCAUAAUGUACCAUGGAUGAGAUCCUUCUGUAACACCAAUGACCAUGCACAAGGAGCAGCCGCUCCAAGUAUCGAAACUGUGCGAUUGCAAUAUCACUUGACAUGACUGCCUGAAAUUCAGAAAGAUAUGAAAUAUAAAACAAAACUGAGAUGAAUGAAAACUUUUUGUUAUCACUCCAGCUGGGAUCUGUUUUAAAUUUACCUGCAUCCCUUCUACACCACUAAUACCGAUCCCGAUAUCCGCUUCUUGGAUCAUUCCGACAUCGUUUGCACCAUCACCAACUGCUAGAGUGGUGCUGCCUGUCUUAACCUUAACCAUUUGGGUAACCUGCAUUUAUGCAAGAUUGCAUCAAAUUAGACUUCUACUUCUAAUUUCUUGGUUUAAGUAUGCUUGAGAAGGUAUGCUUACUUGUGCUUUCUGUUUAGGAGAAGAUCUGCAGCAUAUAACUGAAGCACAACCAAUGGCAAGCUCCAGAAACAGGUCCUUCACAUCAUCCUCCAAAGCAUAGGUGAGGGACUUUCCAUCAAUUAUCAAAGCCAAUGUUUCUGGGGUUUCGGUCGAGGAUGUAAGUAAUGCUUUCGCAUCAGUUAUUUGUUGAAUCACACUUGUUUUAAACGCCUGAAAUCAGCAAUGUCCCAUCAGUACCAAAACUCGUACUGCUUUUGACAAGAUAGUUAGUUAGAUUUGGAAUCUGACACAACAGAGUUUCCAUUACAAAAGAACAAAGAUUCUACAUUAUAGUAUAAAUUGCAACAUGUAAACAUUAGCUAAUUAUAAAGCAACAACUGCAGGUUUGUCAUUUAGUUUGUGAAUCUGAUCUAUUUACCUUGAUAGCUGCAGAUUUGUGAACAUCUUCGACUUUGUCUAAGGCUUUUCCUUCUGGAGUCUCUGAACUGAUAAUUAUUUGCUUCAUUCCUUGUCUAAGUAAACUGCAGGCGAAGCUGAAAAGAGAACGUUCGGGUUUGAAACAAGAAGCUGUUAGCAUGUUGAACAUUUACAUGAAGUGGUGUGCGUUGGCGCUUAGAAAAAGUUGUAUAGAUUAUGCUUACCCAAUGUUGAUGGCUGUUUCCAUCUUAUCACCAGUCAGAACCCAUAUUUUAAUUCCGGCCUGAGCAAGUUUGUCUAUGCAUUCAGGGACCUACAAAGACAAAACAGUCAAUAACUUGUAAGUUUUUCAUCUUCAUAUGGUAUGAGUUUAUUAGUUUCAUUGUUUGAAUAAGGCAAACUACUCAUAAGAAGUGAUUUAAGUUUUUCAUGGCUUAAUUCAUACCCCAUUUUGAAGCUUAUCUUCAACUGCUGUAGCACCAAGAAGAAUCAAAUCUUUCUCAAUGCUUUCUGUCAACUGAUCGAUUAUGUCAUCACGACCUGUGCUCACCGUGUUUUUCGCUUUGAUGAACUCUUGAUGAAAUGCAUUAAACUCCUCCUCUUUCAGCUCACGAUAUGCUAGAACCAAAGUUCUUAAACCAGCAUCAGCAUACUCAUUGAUGUGCACCUUUGUUUGUUCUUCAAACUCAUUUCCAUUCUUUGCAAGUCUUUCAAACAUAACACUACAUUUCAAGGGAAAAAGAACAUGAGCUAAAAUGUCUUAACAACAAAGAAAAUAGAUCACUAUUAUAUGCAUGGGAGAACAUAAUGUUUAAGUUUACCAACCUGUCAGCUCCUUUACAAAGAAGUAGUAGUUUUCCCUUUGAAUCUCUUAUAAUCACAGACAUCCGUUUUCUUGUGCUAUUAAACUCCAAAACAUCCAGUAGCUGAUAUGAUCUGCAAACCCAUAGUCAUAAAACUCAAAGUAAAUAGACGAUUGGGAAAUUGGGAGAACAAUCAUAAAGAUGACGGAAAAUUAUUCUAUAAACUCACGGUGAACUGACCUUUCAACUUUUUUAGCUGAGGUCGGAUCGAACUCCCGUAAUGAAAUGCUUGUCUGACUCCUUUCAUAGAACUCGAAACCGAAUUCUCUGGCUGCAAUCACGAAAGCUGCCUCAUCUGGUGAUUCAGCUUCAUAAGAUAUUUUUCCAGUUUCCUCAUCAAUUUCGGGCAAUGCAGUAUGGCAAAUAGCCAAAAGCUGUAGGAACUUCUGGAUUACAUUGGCUCGAGGCUCCUUCACCCAAUUACCAUCCAUCAUUCUUUCGUCCUUGAAAUUGAACCCUUUAACGAAUGUUUUUUCGCCGCUAAGACGUGCAUUGUCGGCCCCAAAGUUUUGAGGUAAAGUUGACUCCUUUCUUCUCGCAAGAGCUCUCUCUACUUCUGUAAUUCCUCGCCCGUACGCGGUACCGCCCACCGAACACUUGAUAAACUCCAUUGAAUUGCAAGUCAAUGUACCCGUUUUAUCGGAAAGAAUAGUGUCAACUUGG
rnacentral:lncRNA from 1 species